rnacentral:rRNA from 1 species
UACGUAGGGCGCAAGCGUUGUCCGGAAUUAUUGGGCGGAAAGAGCUCGUAGGCGGCUUGUCACGUCGGGUGUGAAAGCCCGGGGCUUAACCCCGGGUCUGCAUUCGAUACGGGCUAGCUAGAGUGUGGUAGGGGAGAUCGGAAUUCCUGGUGUAGCGGUGAAAUGCGCAGAUAUCAGGAGGAACACCGGUGGCGAAGGCGGAUCUCUGGGCCAUUACUGACGAUGAGGAGCGAAAGCGUGGGGAGCGAACAGG